UUGGUAUGAUGAUUCUUCAACUUCAGGUCCGUGUUUUUGAAUGACCUUGAUAAUAUUGAAGUUCUGAACUA
rnacentral:snoRNA from 1 species